rnacentral:lncRNA from 1 species
AUCAUGAAUAAAUGAGUUGUAUUCAUCUCUAACUCCUGUGUUUACAAAGAUGGCCUGGGCAGCUGGAAAAGCAGUCAAACCUCACUCAACACUUGACAUUAAGUUUAACCUCUGCCUAAGGAAAUAAGCACUUAAAAUCUGCUGAAUCACUCGAUUCGCACAUGUCUUUCCAUGGGAACCUUAGACUAGGGGUUUUCUGAUAUACCCUUUGACCGGGUGUGCUUGCAGUGAUACUGUGUGCCAGGGAUUGGUUGCUUAAUACUGAAUGAGGUAGUCCUUGCCAUUAGAAAAAUUACAGUUUGGUGGAAGAGGUAGUCAAGAACACCGUCACAGAGCAGAGUGUCAUGGUAGGAGAGUUACAGGAACACAGUGGGAGACCUUAGGGGAGAAGUAGCUUAUUUCAUCUGGUUAUUGGCCACAGGAGGCUUCUGUUUUUUUUUUUUUUUUUUGGUUGAGAUGGAGUCUCGCUCUGUUGCCCAGGCUGGAAUGCAGUGGCUCACUUGGCUCACCGAAAGCUCCGCCUCCCGGGCCCACGCCAUUCUUGGCCACAGGAGGAUUUGAAAAGAAGCUGUUUUAGCUGAGAUUUAGA